AUUGAACGCUGGCGGCAUGCCUUACACAUGCAAGUCGAACGGAAACAGGUCUUCGGAUGCUGACGAGUGGCGACCGGGUGCGUAAUACUUCGGAACGUGCCCAGACCCGGGGGAUCACGAGGCGAAAGCUUUGCUAAUACCGCAUACGAUCUAAGGAUGAAAGCCGGGGAGCGCAAUGCCUUGCGCGUUUUGUGCGGCCGAUGGCAGAUUAGGUAGUUGGUGGGAUAAAAGCUUACCAAGCCGACGAUCCGUAGCUGGUCUGAGAGGACGACCAGCCACACUGGGACUGAGACACGGCCCAGACUCCUACGGGAGGCAGCAGUGGGGAAUUUUGGACAAUGGGCGAAAGCCUGAUCCAGCAAUGCCGCGUGCAGGAUGAAGGCCUUCGGGUUGUAAACUGCUUUUGUACGGAACGAAAAGGCUCUGGCUAAUACCUGGAGCACAUGACGGUACCGAAAGAAUAAGCACCGGCUAACUACGUG
rnacentral:rRNA from 1 species